rnacentral:rRNA from 1 species
UCCUACGGGAGGCAGCAGUGGGGAAUUUUGGACAAUGGGCGAAAGCCUGAUCCAGCAAUGCCGCGUGUGUGAAGAAGGCCUUCGGGUUGUAAAGCACUUUUGUCCGGAAAGAAAUGGCCCUGGUUAAUACCUGGGGUCGAUGACGGUACCGGAAGAAUAAGGACCGGCUAACUACGUGCCAGCAGCCGCGGUAAUACGUAGGGUCCAAGCGUUAAUCGGAAUUACUGGGCGUAAAGCGUGCGCAGGCGGUUGUGCAAGACCGAUGUGAAAUCCCCGAGCUUAACUUGGGAAUUGCAUUGGUGACUGCACGGCUAGAGUGUGUCAGAGGGGGGUAGAAUUCCACGUGUAGCAGUGAAAUGCGUAGAGAUGUGGAGGAAUACCGAUGGCGAAGGCAGCCCCCUGGGAUAACACUGACGCUCAUGCACGAAAGCGUGGGGAGCAAACAGGAUUAGAUACCCUGGUAGUCCACGCCCUAAACGAUGUCAACUAGUUGUUGGGGAUUCAUUUCCUUAGUAACGUAGCUAACGCGUGAAGUUGACCGCCUGGGGAGUACGGUCGCAAGAUUAAAACUCAAAGGAAUUGACGG